GCCUGGUUGAUUCUGCCAGUAGCAUAUGUGUGUCUCAAAGAUUAAUCCCUGCACAUGCAAGUACACAUGGCCGAUACAGACCAAGACCAAUCCGGGCUCGCCCAGCCACUUUGGUGAUGCUUUAUGACCUUGGGCCGAUUUCACGUCCCUGAGACAGCAACAACGCAUUCGGAUGUCUGCCCUAUCAACCUUCGAUGGUCCUUUCUGUGCCUACCAUGGUGACCAUGGAUAAUGCGGAAUCAGGGUUCAAUUCUAGAGAGGGAGUCUGAGAAACGGCUACCACAUCCAAGGAAGGCAGCAGGCAAGCAAAUUAUCCACUCCCAACUUGGGAGGUAAUGAUGAAAAAUAACAAUACAGGACUCUUUCGAGGCCCUGCAAUUGGAAUGAGUACACUUAAAUCCUUCAAGGAGGAUUCAUUGGAGGGCAAGUCUGGUGCCAGAAGCCAUGGUAAUUCCAGCUUCAAUAGGGUAUAAUAAAGUUGCUGCAUUUAAAAAGUCAGAGUUGGAUCGUGGGAUUGAGCUGGCAGUCCGCCGCGAGGUGAGCUACCGCCUGUCCCAGCCUCUGCCUCUCUGUGCCCCGUUGAUGCUCUUGACUGAGCAUCCAGGGGGUCUGAAGUGUUUACUGUGAAAAAACUAAAGUAUUCAAAGAAGGCUAUUUCCCUGAAUACUUCAGCUAGGAAUAAUGGAACAGGACUCCAUAUCCAUUAUGUUGGUUUUCGGAAAUGGGGCAAUGAUUAAGAGGGGCAACCAGGGGUAUUCACAAUGUGCCACUAGAGGUGAAAUUCUUCGACUGGCACAAGAUGAACAAAAGUGAAAGCAUUUGCCAAGAAUGUUUUCAUUAAUCAAGAACGAAAGUUGGAGGUUCGAAGAUGAUCAGAUAAAGUUGUAGUUCUGACCAUAAAUGUAUUUAUUUAUUUAUUUGUUUAUUUAAUUUAAUUUUUAUAACGCGCCACUCGCCCAAAGCCCUCAGGGUGCACAAUGAUGUUGACUAGCGAUCCAGCAGUGUUAUUCCCAUGACCCGCCAAGCAGCUUCUGGGAAACUAAAUUAUUUCUGUUCCGGGGGAGAAUGGUUGAAAAUAUGAAACUUAAAGGAAUUGAUGAAAGGGUACCACCAGGAGUGGAGCCUAUGGCUUAAUUUGAUUCAACGUGGAAACCCUCACCCGGUUCGGACACGGAAAGGUUGGACAGAUUGACAGCUCUUUCUCAAUUCUGUUGGUGGUGAUGCAUGGCCGUUCUUAGUUGGUGGAGUGAUUUAUCUGGUUAAUUCUGAUAAGAAAACUAUUCUCCUUCAUGCUACCUAGUUACCUGACCCAAGCGGUCGUCGCUCAAUUUCUUAGAAGGAUAAGUAGCGUUCAGCCACACAAAAUCCACCAAUAACAGGCCUGUGAUGCCCUUAGAUGUCCGAGGCUGCACAAGCUCUACACUGAACAGAUCGGUGUGUGUCUACCCUUCACCAACAGGUGCGGGUAACCCACUGAACUCAUUUCAUGAUAGGGAUUCGGGAUUGCAAUUAUUCCCAAUGAACAAGGAAUUACCAGUAAGUGUGGGUUAUCUGCUUGUGUUGAUUAAGUUUCUGUCCUUUGUGCACACUGCUCACUGCUACUUACCGAUUGUUUUUACGCACACUCCAGAAUAAAGACAACCCUCUGGGGAAAUAGGCCAGGAGAUAGUGUUGCAAGGAUAACAGAGGUUUAAUUGUACAGAAUACAAAU
rnacentral:rRNA from 1 species